rnacentral:rRNA from 1 species
GACGAACCGUGCGAACGUUAUUCGGAAUCACUGGGCUUAAAGCGCGUGUAGGCGGGACGGCACGUCGGUCGCUGAAAUCCCCCGGCUCAACCGGGGAACGGGCGCCGAUACGACCGCCCUGGAGGGGCGUAGGGGGAUCGGGAACUUCCGGUGGAGCGGUGAAAUGCGUUGAGAUCGGAAGGAACGCCCGUGGCGAAAGCGCGGUCCUGGACGCUUACUGACGCUGAGUAGCGAAAGCGUGGGGAGCGAACAGG